AUACGGAGGGUGCAAGCGUUGUUCGGAAUUAUUGGGCGUAAAGCGCGUGUAGGCGGCUUGGUAAGUCAGGUGUGAAAGCCCUUAGCUCAACUAAGGAAAGUCAUCUGAAACUGCCAGGCUUGAGUACGGGAGAGGAGAGUGGAAUUCCCGGUGUAGAGGUGGAAUUCGUAGAUAUCGGGAGGAACACCCGUGGCGAAGGCGACUCUCUGGACCGAUACUGACGCUGAGACGCGAAAGCGUGGGGAGCAAACAGGAUUAGAUACCCCAGUAGUCC
rnacentral:rRNA from 1 species